rnacentral:lncRNA from 1 species
GCCAGUAUGGGCCUAAGGUGGGCUGGAGAAAAGAUUAGUUGAAGAAUGGGAUUGGCCCAUGAGGAUAUGAUAACCAACUUCGAUACGAGUUGUGUUUGUUGAAAUUCGUUAUCAUUUAAAAUUAGAGAUAAAUCCUAGUCGGUUGGAAAAUCAGUUGUAACAGGCUAUAAAUAGCCACCUCUAGAGGUUUGUAAAAAGAACACACAUCAAUCAAUACAACCAAUCUACUUUUUCCCCGUACUUUACUUUCAAGUCGGUGACUUUGCCAAAAUACCUUUUUCUUUCACGAGUUCAC